UAAUACCGCAUAACAUCCAAUUUUCGCAUGGUCUUUGAAUCAAAGGAGUAAUCCGCUUUGAGAUGGACCCGCGGCGCAUUAGCUAGUUGGUGAGGUAACGGCUCACCAAGGCAACGAUGCGUAGCCGACCUGAGAGGGUGAUCGGCCACAUUGGAACUGAGACACGGUCCAGACUCCUACGGGAGGCAGCAGUGGGGAAUAUUGCACAAUGGGGGAAACCCUGAUGCAGCAACGCCGCGUGAGUGAUGAAGGCCUUCGGGUUGUAAAGCUCUGUCUUUUGGGACGAUAAUGACGGUACCAAAGGAGGAAGCCACGGCUAACUACGUGCCAGCAGCCGCGGUAAUACGUAGGUGGCAAGCGUUGUCCGGAUUUACUGGGCGUAAAGGAUGCGUAGGCGGAUAUUUAAGUGAGAUGUGAAAGACCCGGGCUUAACUUGGGUGCUGCAUUUAAAACUGGAUAUCUAGAGUGCAGGAGAGGUAAG
rnacentral:rRNA from 1 species